ACAUUUUCUAACCCUUAUUCACAACAUUUUCUAACCCUUAUUCACAACAUUUUCUAACCCUUAUUCUCACACCCUCUCUCCCUAUUCUCACAAACACAAGAACACUUCAUAGCUUGUUGAAGAACAACAAGAACACUUUCAAAAAGAAACUCAAGAACUUACAUCUUCCUCUCACGGUAGAACCGAGACGCACCUCUUUCCUCCACAAACCGCCAUCCAAGCCCUCAGGUACCUCCAUGAAGCACACACACCAAAUCAGAGCUAAGUUAUUUUUCAAAUUUCUUUUUUUUUAUUUUUUAUUACAUAAACUCCUUUCCUUUUUUCUUCUUUUUUAAUAUAAUUUCUUUUUUACUUAUUUUGUUUAAAACAAAUUAUUUUUAUUAGCCAUCUAUAUUAUUUAAUCGAAAACUCGUUUUUUCGUAAUAUCAAUUUUUUUUCAAUAAUAAUUUAAUUAAGGUUUUUAGUUAAUAAUUAUUUUUGGGGCUAAUUAAAUGUUUUUAUGUCUUAAAACCCUGAUUUCUUCAUGAUCAUUAAUCACUGUUAGGUAGAUGUUGUCCAUUAACUUAGUAUCUUUGUAAUGGUUGGGGAUUGUAAUGCACUAACAUUUUUCUUCUUUGUGCCCAAUUCUUUCAGGGUUAGCAACAGGAUUUUACCUCCGACUACCAACCACACAGAAUUCCAGCUAAGUAUUUUUUUUAAUAAUAAUUUUUAUUAUUUUUAUGCAUCAACAAUUUUGCUUAUUUUCUUUUCCUUUCUUUUUUUUUAUUAUUAUUAUAACUCUUUUAUUUAUAUUUUUAUAAAAUAAUUUCUAUAGUAAAUUUUAAUCAUUAAUAUUUAACCGAAAACCUGAUUUUUCACAAAUAAUUGUUUUCUCUAUAUAUAUUAAAAUUCGAAUAUACUUUUAAUUAAUUGAUAAAUUAGGAUUAACCUUUAUGUUUAUUUUAACCCUUGUUCUAUUUAAUUGAUUUCUUAGCCUUUUCAUUAACCUUUCAAGGUUUCCGUAACAUCAUUUAUUUUUUAUUAUUAUUUGUCUUUUGGGUCACAAUAAAUUUUCUUUUAUUUUUUUUAAUCCAUUAAGGGUUGUAGAUCCUUCAUACACUAAAAUUAUUUUCUUUUAUGCAAAUUUUCAGGGUUAAUCAGUAUCCUCCGACUACGCGCCAUGGCAAUUGAAAAGCUAAGUUCCCAAUCCUUGUUUUAUUUUAUUUAAAUAUUAUUUUCUUUUUUCCUUUUGCCCAAAAUAGGGUUUGCUUCGAAUAGUCAAUACACUCACCCCUUAUUUAUUUUCCUCUUAAUUUGCAGAGUCAACCAAGGGUUUGAGGAAGAUCAAGGCAUUCAAUAUACACAAAUUAAUUAUUGCCCUCUAUUAUUUUCUGCUUUUCCCCUUUCCCGCAGGUGUUUAUUGUAAUAGCGUAGGAAUUUUAUUUUCUGCUUUUAUUUUAUUUUAACUGCGUGGUUAGUAAAAUAGGGAGUGCAAGAUUAUGAAUUGAACGUAGAUCACCUAACUACAAGAUAAAUGUCAUCGAAGUUAACACAUGAUUGUUGCACCCACACACCUUUAGGGUAACCCCUCUUGUUGCCUUAUACUGUUGUCUGCCUAUAUUGUUGCCUAUGCCUUAAUUAUUGUUGCCUUUAAAUAGUCAAGUCCCUCGAUCCCGAGGAUACCUAAAGCAAACGUUGCCUUCAAAGUUAUUGAAACUCCCUCGAUGUUGCCUUAUAAAAACAACUGUCCCAAUUGCUAAGGUAUCCUCGCCUGUUGCCUAAAGAUUAAAUGACUAUUAUAUCCUUCCCUUAGACUACCUGCCCUCGUUAUGGCAAGGGACAGUCUUAUGGCGAACGAUACUCUCGAUGACCCUUAACAUCCAAUUGAAAGACUUCCUACCCUCUUAUGGUAUGGAUAGACUCUUUCGCCCGAAAGGCUAAAAGAACGAUUUUUUUCUAAACUUAGGGUAAGUAGCUUUUAAAUUGCUUGCUCAAUUCAAACUUAAAAUUCAAAAUCUUUUUCCCACUCUUUUCAAAAUCAAAAAGACUACGCUUAUUUACAAGCUAAAGUUCUUCUUCAAAGUUUUUACUUUUCACACCUCCUUUGAAACAAUUCAAACAAAAUGAGCUAAGCAAUUAAGAGCCCAUGGAUAACCAUGGAUGCAAAGGGUGCCUUACACCUUCCCUUUGCAUAAUUUACCCCCCGAACUCAAAAUCUUUUAAAAGGUCUUUUCCUGUUCUUUUAGCCUUUCCUAAUUGGAUAAAAUAAAAGUCGGUGGCGACUCAUGCUUACCGCGACAUUUUC